GUAGGUGACAAGCGUUGUCCGGAUUUACUGGGCGUAAAGAGCGCGCAGGCGGUCGUUCAAGUCGAGUGUGAAAGCCCCCGGCUCAACUGGGGAGGGUCAUUCGAUACUGAUCGACUCGAAGGCAGGAGAGGGUAGUGGAAUUCCCGGUGUAGUGAUGAAAUGCGUAGAUAUCGGGAGGAACACCAGUGGCGAAGGCGACUACCUGGCCUGUUCUUGACGCUGAGGCGCGAAAGCUAGGGGAGCAAACGGGAUUAGAUACCCCGGUAGUCCUAGCCGUAAACGAUGGACACUAGGUGUUGGUGGUAUCAACCCCGCCAGUGCCGAAGCUAACGCAUUAAGUGUCCCGCCUGGGGAGUACGGCCGCAAGGCUA
rnacentral:rRNA from 1 species